UUUCCGUAGGUGAACCUGCGGAAGGAUCAUUAACGA
rnacentral:rRNA from 6 species